rnacentral:rRNA from 1 species
CGCGUGGGUAAUCUACCUCCGAAUUGGGGAUAACAUUGCGAAAGCGAUGCUAAUACCGAAUGAUAUCUUUAAAACCUCGGUUCUUUAGAUCAAAGGUGGCCUCUACAUGUAAGCUUCUGUUUGGAGAUGAGCCCGCGUACCAUUAGCUUGUUGGUAGGGUAAUGGCCUACCAAGGCAACGAUGGUUAGCUGGUCUGAGAGGAUGAUCAGCCACACUGGAACUGACACACGGUCCAGACUCCUACGGGAGGCAGCAGUGAGGAAUUUUGCGCAAUGGGGGAAACCCUGACGCAGCAACGCC